ensembl:snRNA U6 U6 spliceosomal RNA
GUGCUUACUUCGACAGCACAUACACUAAAACUGGAAUGAAACAGAGAAGACCAGCAUAUCCUCUGUGCAGUAUGACAUGAAAAUUCAUGGUGUUCCAAAUUUAU